UGCUACUCAAAUUCCUCAUAUCAGAGAGAUCAUAUGAUAAUUGUCUUUCUCUGAUUGACUUACUUGGCUCAGCACAAUACCCUCUGGUUCCAUCCACGUUGUUGCAAAUGGAAAGAUUUCGGGUUUUUUGAUGGCUGCAUAAUAUUCCAUGAGAGAAAGAGAGAAAACGAACAUGCUCAUAUGCUUGUGGGGGAAGGGGAUAGAGAGAGAGAGAAUCUUCAAGCAAACUCCCAGCUGAGCAAAGAGUCCAACAUGGGGUUUGAUCCCAGCGCCCUGAGAUCAUGACCUGAACCAAAACCAAGUUGGACACUCAACGGACUGAGCCACCCAGGCACCCCUU
rnacentral:lncRNA from 1 species